rnacentral:rRNA from 1 species
UACGUAGGGGCUAGCGUUGUCCGGAUUUAUUGGGCGUAAAGAGCGUGUAGGCGGCCAGGUAGGUCCGUUGUGAAAACUCGAGGCUCAACCUCGAGACGUCGAUGGAAACCAUCUGGCUAGAGUCCGGAAGAGGAAAGUGGAAUUCCUGGUGUAGCGGUGAAAGUGCGUAGAUAUCUGGAGGAACACCGGUGGCGAAGGCGGCCUUCUGGUCGGAUACUGACGCUAAAACGCGAAAGCGUGGGGAGCAAACAGG